GAUGAACGCUGGCGGUGUGCCUAAUACAUGCAAGUCGAGCGAAUGACGAGGAGCUUGCUCCUCUGAUUUAGCGGCGGACGGGUGAGUAACACGUGGGUAACCUGCCUGUAAGACGGGGAUAACUCCGGGAAACCGGAGCUAAUACCGGAUGAUAACGAGAAGCGCCUGCUUCUUUUUUGAAAGUCGGUUUCGGCUGACGCUUACAGAUGGGCCCGCGGCGCCUUAGCUAGUUGGUGAGGUAAUGGCUCACCAAGGCGACGAUGCGUAGCCGACCUGGGAGGGUGAUCGGCCACACUGGAACUGAGACACGGCCCAGCCUCCUACGGGAGGCAGCAGUAGGGAAUCUUCGGCAAUGGACGAAAGUCUGACCGAGCAACGCCGCGUGAGCGAUGAAGGCCUUCGGGUCGUAAAGCGCUGUUGUCAGAGAAGAACAAGUACCGGAGUAACUGCCGGUACCUUGACGGCACCUGACCAGAAAGCCACGGCUAACUACGUGCCAGCCGCCGCCGUAACAC
rnacentral:rRNA from 1 species